AUUGUGGUUUUGUGUACUCUCAAUAAAGGUCGAGUGAAUCGCCAUCCCUUCCAGCCUUACUAUUUCUCCUCAAACUCCACAUCAAUGACAUUGGGUUGUGACUUGGAACUAGAACUACCUUUUCUUGAAUUGUAUUCCCCUUGGCCUUUAGGCUGCCACACUAUGUUUCCACAGCCUGUGCAUGAAAUAAUUUGGUUCUUGUACCCAGCAAAUUCUCUAUUACAGGCUGGACA
rnacentral:misc_RNA from 1 species